rnacentral:rRNA from 1 species
GACGUAGGGCGCAAGCGUUGUUCGGAUUCAUUGGGCGUAAAGGGUGCGUAGGCGGCGCGGUAAGUCGGGUGUGAAAUCUUGGAGCUUAACUCCGAAACUGCAUUCGAUACUGCCGUGCUUGAGGACUGGAGAGGAGACUGGAAUUUACGGUGUAGCGGUGAAAUGCGUAGAUAUCGUAAGGAAGACCAGUGGCGAAGGCGGGUCUCUGGACAGUUCCUGACGCUGAGGCACGAAGGCCAGGGGAGCAAACGGG